UUCGCCCUCUCCUGGGAAAGAAGGGUGUUACUGUGCUCCUGCCCUUGUCUUCCCGGGGCUGUGAGCAGCUGUGAGCGCCCAGGGUGCAGCCAGCAUGGGGCUGGGGGGCGGGAGGGGGAAAGGGGGGGAUGGGCCAGGAUCUGGAUACACUGCGGACUCGCUGCUUCUCUCCACUGAGUCCUGCCCAGGCCCCUUUGCAGCCUGUGCAGCGCUCGCUCUCCUCAUUCCCCUGGCCCUUGAUCAGGAAGGGAUGCAAAGUUGGGUUUAUUUUGUUUUUGUGCCUGGAUGUCUUUAUUUAUUUAUUUAUUUAUUUAUAAGAUUUUAUUUACUUAUUUGACAGAGACACAGAGGGAACACAAGCAGGGGGAGUGGGAGAGGGAGAAGCAGGCUCCCCACUGAGCAGGGAGCCAGAUGCGGGGCUCGAUCCCAGGACCCUGGGAUCAUGACCUGAGCCGAAGGCAGACGCUUAACCAUCUGAGCCACCCAGGCGCCCCAGUGCCUGGAUGUCUUUAGCAAGCCUUCAUGACCUAGCCCCCAAGAGACUUUGUGCGCACUCUGCUUCCCGAGGAGCUGGUCGUCUCCUUCCCCUGCUCUCAGCUUGCCCUACGGUCAGGUAGAAUGGGGAGGUAGCCUUGUUGUCCAGAUGUGACCUGAUCCCAGGGGCCUCCUGGACUUCAGGACUGGAAAAGGGAACCGUGGUCACAUGUAACUAUUGCCUUUUUUAUUUCAGUGUAUAAGGAGCUUGGACCCCCUAGUAUGUAUCUAUCCUGUCUUUGUGUAGAACUUGGUAACAUGAAGGUGUUUGAACCUUACUUUUGACUUCAUUUUUUUUUCGUACUCCCCAUUAAAGUGAACCAAAAACCUUUUUACUUAGGGUCUCAACAAGUUGAGAGUCCUGUAUCUUCAUCUGCUAUUUCAUGAUAUAAGUUAUAAAAAUUUUUUAAAAAGAGGAUAUGUGAAAUUCUAUCCUUUUUGAUGGAAAUUUCAUAUCUCAUUUUCACUGGGGAGAAAAAGGCUCAGUAUCUUGCAGUUAACGUCUCUGGAAGACUCCUGUGACAUCUCACUAGCCAGCAUCUAGCCUGUUUCAAUGAGGUAUUUGAGCUCUGUUCUUCCCUGGUGGUAUGAAGCCAGCUCUCUCAAAGGGACAGACUCGACUGUAGUUAGAAAAGGCAUUCAUGAUCUGAGAUCUAGCUGGGCCCCCAACAGGACCUCCCGAUGUACCGAAGGCUGCCUGAAAGCCUGGCGUCCUGCUUCUCCUCGGCCCCCUUUCUGGCCCAUGGCCCAUCGGGAGCUCAGAGGGAGGGGGUGAUGUGUGCUUGACUCACCUUUGGGGUAGGCAGCUGGGAGCACUUGGAUGAAUGUGGUCAGCCAUGCAGGAGCAGACGGCAUUUCCCGGGUCAGGAGAGGCGAGUUCCUAUGCAAGUGCAAUAUACACUUGGGGCCUUGGAGGUGGAUUUCAUGCCCCCCUCAGGUCACAAGACCCACCCUCCGAAGCAAACUUGCUAUAUCACUGAUGAGGAGUGAGUGUGCAUUCCAAAGCUAUGGAAAGGUCACUGCCAUGAUGUCCCUUGUGAUUAGAGAAACAAAGGACAACUUUUCAGGCUGUCCACGUGCCGACUCACGGGUUAUGGAGGAGGCAUCUGGAUGCCCACUGAGGACGCAAGUGCCUGGAGUUGUAGAUGGCAGUAAAAACGCCCGAGGCCUGCACGUCUGAGGAUCGGGGAGCCAGGCGGAGCCUCAAAUCGUAGAAACAAAGCGCAGAGGAGCAUCUCUGUUUUUAUCUACUUUGCCCGUGGGGCUUCGGGGACAGUCCCCUUUCAGCAGGAUUUCUUCAGCAACAUCAAAUUCGAGACCCAGCCAGCCUCCUUCCGAAGCUAGAGAAUGUUCUCCAGCAGGCUUUCUCGUGGGUCUCCCGUGCCUGUGCUUGGACACUCCCGUGCGCUCUCUCCAUUCCUGCAUGCAUCUAGUACGUCUCCCUAGAAUCUCCAGUGUGCCAUUCAGAAUAGAUGGACUUCCUCUUCUAUAGGACUUUUUUUUUUUUUUUAAUUUUUAUUUUUAUUUUAUUUUUUCUUUUUUAAAGAUUUUAUUUAUUUAUUUGAGAGAAUGAGAUAGAGCAUGAGAGGGGGGAGGGUCAGAGGGAGAAGCAGACUCCCUGCUGAGCAGGGAGCCUGAUGCAGGACUCGAUCCCGGGACUCCAGGAUCAUGACCUGAGCCAAAGGCAGUCGCCCAACCAACUGAGCCACCCAGGCGCCCUAAGAUUUUUAUUUUUAAGUAAUCUCCACACCCAGAUGUGGGUCUUGAACUCACAACCCCUAGAUCAAGAGUUGCGUGCUCCACUGACUGAGCCAGCCAGGUUCUGCUAUAGGACUUUCAUCUAAAAAUUCAGAUGGUACUAGCCUGUUUCUUCUCUUGUCCCCACAGUCCCUUCUAGGUUAUAUAGAGCCACUGCUGGCUGACCAGUCUCUCCUUAUGGGCUGUGGAUGAUUUUUUUCCAUUCAAUUUGCCUCUUCUAGAAACUGAUGUCAUUUGUCAGUGGCCCUCUUAGAGUGCAGCACUCAGAACUGAUCACAGUAAUGCCACGGAUAUUGUUUAACCUGCUAGGGUCCAGUGGGAUUAUUAACUAACUCCUUUGACGACAGAACACUGACUCAUUCUGUUUUGAUCACUGUGAUGAGUUAGAUGAGGCACCUUCAUGUCAAGGGAUUGUAAUCCUUGCUUUGGCAAGUUGGUUUUCCGUCUUUAUAAAGUAAGGGCGAUGAUGAUUGCAUAAGGUUUUCUAUUUCACAUACUCCUCUCACACCUGUUUUAUUUAAAUAAUCCUCUCCUUGGUUACCUCAUAGAGAGCUGUUGUUAUCAAGCACAUAAGGCAAGCAAUAUUUUAUUUUUUAAUUUUUUUUAAUAUUUUUUAAUUUUUUUAAAAUUUUAUUUUAUUAUGUUAGUUAUCAUACAGUACAUCAUUAGUUUUUGAUGUAGUGUUCCAUGAUUCAUUGUUUGCGUAUUGCACCCAGUGCUCCAUGCAGAACGUGCCCUCCUUAACACCCAUCACCGGGCUAACCCAUCCCCCCAGCCCCCUCCCUUCUAGAACCCUCAGUUUGUUUCUCAGAGUCCAUAGUCUCUCAUGGUUUGUCUCCCCCUCCAAUGUCCCUCCCCUUCAUUUUUCCCUUCCUACUAUCUGUUUUUUUGUUUUUUUGUUUUUUUUAACAUAUAAUGUAUUAUUUGUUUCAGAGGUACAGGUCUGUGAAGCAGUAGUAUUUUAUAAAGAAUUGUAUACCUGUGCAGAACAAGACAGCAUUAGCUUUUUCUUUUUAAAGAUUUUAUUUGUUUAUUUGCCAGAGAGAGAGCGAGCGAGAGCAGGAACACAAGCAGGGGGAGUGGGAGAGGGAGAAGCAGGCUUCCCGCAGAGCAGGGAGCCCCAUGUGGGAUUCGAUCCCAGAACCCUGGGAUCAUGACCUGAGCCGAAGGCAGACACUUAAUGACUGAGCCGCCCAGGCGCCCCAGCAUUAGCUUUUUUAGAUAGAGUUGUUUAGCUUCUUGAGUAUGCAUGACUAGUUAGUUCUAGAACUUGCUGUGGGAUUUUAUGUAUAUCUGGAAUAAUUUAUUAAGCUAUGAUUUUCUGAAUCUGAACUUUGUUUCUUUUGAGCUAUUCCCAGUUUAACUUUCCAUUGUUUAAUAAGUAUGUCUAACAGUUUCCAGGUUGUCAGUUAAUUUGUUACCAAAACAGAAGAGACUUGGAUGCAGUCUUUCGAGCAUCCGACCGUGUUUUGGCUCAGGUCCUGAUCUCAGGGUCUGAGAUCGAGCCCCGUGUCGGUCUCUGCGCUCAGCGUGGAGUCUGCUUGAGAUCCUCUCUCCUUCUCCCCCUGCCCCUCCUGCUUGUGCUCUCUCUCUCAAAUAAAUAAAUCUUAAAUAUUUAUAUAUAUGUAGAACCCAGAAGAGAACAGAUCUAAAUCUAAGCCUCAAGGUACAUAUCAGUGGGAGCUCCUCCUUCCUUGACAUAGAUCGGCACAGAGGGCAUGGUUGUUGCUUCUGACCAGGCCCUACUUCUAGAGUUACUACACUGGACAUAAGGAGUGCCAUAGACAUAGGGACUUUUAUGAGAAGGUAAAACAAAUAUGUCCCUAGUGGUCCAUCUAACUAAGAUUACUAGAUUGGUAGAUCAGGGAGAUGUGGCGCCUCUAAAAACCAGCAGCAUUCAAAUGCAGAUGCCUUUCGGAAACAAGAUAGAUCUUUAAAUCUGUAGCAUUUUUCUAGUUGGGUACUACUGUCAGUGGAUGAAAAAUCAUUUAUUGAAUACCCACUGUGGGCCAGAUGCCCCAGGCAUGCGCGCUAGGGGUACAGGACUAAAGCCCAUGCUGCCCCCCAAGGAGAGGACAUAGGCAUGUUGGAUGUGGCUUGCCGUAGGUAUGCUGGCUCCUGGUGAUGGAUGACUGCCUCCCCUCGGCAACCCCCCCCCCCCCCCCGCCCAGGUCCCUGCACACCCUCGCUCCAGGAGUCCACUGUAGCAUGACAGCAGCAGGCUCUUCAGCCUGUAAUAGAGGGACCCUUGCCUUUUGCGUGGGGGUCAGGAAGCAGUGGACCCACAUCUAGGUUCCUGUUACUUGGGUUUAUCAAGGUUUCUCACAAACUGAGCUUUUUAACAGGUGCAUCUUUGUUCAUCGUCCUUUCUGAGUCUAGGUUCUUCUGGGAAUCCAGCCUCUAGGCUUACUCCUACUUGUUGAGAUUUGAAACUUCCAAGUCCAGUUUUAUUUAUUUACUUUUUUAGAUGUCUUCAUUUUAUUAUUAUUUUUAUAAUUUUAAUUCCAGGAUAGUUAACAUACAGUGUUAUAUUAGUUUCAGGUGUGCGAUAUAGUGAUUCAACCCCCCCCCCCCCCCCCCCCCCGCCUCAGGUAACUGUCAGUUCUCCAUAGUUAAGAGUUUGGUUUUUUGGAUUGUGUCUUUCACUCUUUUGUUUGUUUGUUUCACACAGUUAAGUUAUACGGUAUUUGUUUUUCUCUGACUGACCUGUUUCACUUAGCCUAAUACUCUCUAGCUCCAUCUGUAUCAUUGCAAAUGGCAAGAUUUCAUUCUUUUUUAUGGCUGAAUAAUAUUCCAUGACACACACACACACACACCACUUUUUUUUUUUUAAGAUUUUAUUUAUUUGACAGAGCAUAAGCAGGUUGAGCAGCAGGUGGAGGGAGAGGGAGAAGCAGGCUCCCCACUGAGCAGGGAGCCUGAUGUGGGGUUUGAUCCCAGGACCCUGAGGUCAUGACCUGAGCUAAAGACGAGACGCUCAAGCAACUAAGCCACCCAGGCGCCCAACCACUUCUUUAUCCAUUCAUCUAUGGAUGUACACGGGCUGCUUCCAUAAUUUGUCUAUGGUAAAUAAUGCUGCUAUAAACAUGGGGUGCUGCAUGUAUCUCUUUGAAUUAGUGUUUUUGUAUUUUUCGGGUAAAUAUCCAGUAGUGCAAUUACUGGAUCAUAGGGUCGCUCUAUUUUUAACUUUUGAGGAACUUCCAGAGUGGCUGCACCUGUUUGCAUGCCCACCAGCAGUGUAAGAGGGUUCCCCUUUCUCCACAUCCUUGCCAACAGUUCUUGUUGCUUGUGGUUUUGAUUUUUGCCAUUCUGACCAGUGUGAGGUGGUAUCUCAUGGUAGCUUUAAUUAGCAUUUCGCUGGCGAUGACUGAUGUUGAGCAUCUUUUCAUGUGUCUGUUGGCCAUCUGGAUGUCUUUGGAGCAAUGUCUGCUCAUGUCUUCUGUCCAUUUGCUUACAGGAUGAUUUGUUUUUUGGGUUCAACGUCCAACUUUGAACUGUGUGUAUUCUAAACUGGUCUGAAGGUCAGUUUCUAGAUAGAGAAGACAAAAUUGACAUUCUGUUUUUUCUGCAUUUUCUUAAUCAUUUAUUAGUUAUGCUGUUUGCUUUAGGCACUGGCCCACCUCCUCUUAGGUUAUUUCAAAAACUUUGUCAGUUUCGUGGUAUUGGCACAUUGAGUCAUAAUGUCUUUGUAUUUAUUUGAAUACAUGUGUUUGGAGAGAAAAAAUUGUGCUGGUUCCAUAUGCUGACACACUGAUCUGAAGGUCCGGCUGUCCCUUUGAGCAAAGGACCUGACUUGAAAAUGCUCGUAGGCUCUUCCUAGGCCAGGGCUCUCACCGAGGAAAAGGCCAUGUUCAGUUCCAGCAUGAUCAUGAGGCCCAAUGGCAAGAAGCUGGAUGAGCUGGAGUCCAGGCCCUCCUUGAGUUGGAGAGGAACUCGGGCCUCCGAGCCCAGCUAUGGGAGAUGAAUACAACAGCAGCCAAGGAAACUGAAGUUGGCGGUGGUUGGAAGGUUCUUACCAUCUUUGUUGCCAUUCCUCAACUGAAAUCUUUCCAGAACAUCCAAGUCCGGCUAGUCUUUGAAUUGGAGAAAAAGUUCACUGGGAAGCAUGUUGUCUUUAAGGCUCAGAGGAGAAUUCUGCCUCAGCCAACUUGAAAAAAGCCAUACAAAAAACGAGCAAAAGUGUCCCAGGAUCUGCGCUUGGACAGCCGCGCGUGAUGCAAUCCUGGAGGACUUGGUUUUCCCAAGCAAAAUUGUAGGCAAGAGGAUCCACGUGAAGCUGGAUGGCAGUCUGGUCACAAAGGUUCGUUUGGAUAAAGCACAGCAGAGCGACAUAGAGCACAAGGUUGAAACUUUCUGUGUUAUCUGUAAGAAGCUCACCAGCAAGGAUGUUAACUUUGAGUUCCAGAGUUUCCGUUGUAAACAUAAAUGAUGGGGGGUGGGGGGAAGCUCGUAGGUGUCCCUCCUGUUUACCUGAGGCAAAUAUGGUUUUCCGUAUCUCUGGAAUAUAUAAUCAUUCCCCAUCAGAUCUUAACACAGUUCACACCAUAGAAUGAGUCUCAGAUUCUGUAGUGACCUUGAGGAAGUCAUGCAAUCUACCUUGACCUUCUUAUCCCAAAUGUAAAGGGAUUUUCUCUAGAAUUCCCACCUCUAUCCCCCAUAAGAAAGAAUUUCUGCUUUUUAAAAAGUAGUUACUUCAUUCUUUUCAUCAGCAAUAAUCUGAGAAAGAAUGGGAAUUUGGGAUGCAAAGACAGGCAGGAGUGAGCUUUGAGAUGAGUGGUGAUGGGCAGUAUC